AUUGAACGCUGGCGGCAUGCCUUACACAUGCAAGUCGAACGGCAGCGCGGGCUUCGGCCUGGCGGCGAGUGGCGAACGGGUGAGUAACAUAUCGGAACGUGCCCUGGAGUGGGGGAUAACUAGUCGAAAGACUAGCUAAUACCGCAUACGAUCUAAGGAUGAAAGUGGGGGAUCGCAAGACCUCAUGCUCGUGGAGCGGCCGAUAUCUGAUUAGCUAGUUGGUGGGGUAAAGGCCCACCAAGGCGACGAUCAGUAGCUGGUCUGAGAGGACGACCAGCCACACUGGGACUGAGACACGGCCCAGACUCCUACGGGAGGCAGCAGUGGGGAAUUUUGGACAAUGGGGGCAACCCUGAUCCAGCAAUGCCGCGUGUGUGAAGAAGGCCUUCGGGUUGUAAAGCACUUUUGUUCGGAAAGAAAUCGUUCUGGUUAAUACCUGGGAUGGAUGACGGUACCGGAAGAAUAAGCACCGGCUAACUACGUGCCAGCCGCCGCGGUAACAC
rnacentral:rRNA from 1 species